rnacentral:tRNA from 1 species
GUCCUCGUAGCUCAGUUGGAUAGAGCACAAGUUUCCUAAACUUGGGGUCGCAUGUUCAAGCCAUGCCGGGGACGCCA